UCAAUUUGUGCUAUUCAAUAGUAUUUGAGUAUAUUAUAAAGAUGAAAAGCCCAACAAAAAAGUUUAAGGGUACACGAGAUAGCAUAUUGAAAAAAAAUCAUGGAAAGACAUCUAAAGUUUUGUUUCUCAAAGGGCAACAGACAUAUGCUUAUUAACUAAUAAGCACAUUAUGUAUUGCCCAAAUUCUCAAUGUUCUCGACGACUAAGUAAACAUAUUGUUGAAUCAAAAGAUAUUAUGUAAUCUCUCUGCCGUAUUUAUACAACAAUACAUUAAAUAGUGUCAAACCACACUUAGAC
rnacentral:lncRNA from 1 species